rnacentral:rRNA from 1 species
AUCCCGUCCACCGAUUGACUAAGGUUUCCAGAGGAAGGCUCGUCCGCUCUGGGUUAGUCGGGUCCUAAGCUGAGGCCGACAGGCGUAGGCGAUGGAUAACAGGUUGAUAUUCCUGUACCACCUAGUAUCGUUUUAAUCGAUGGGGGGACGCAGUAGGAUAGGCGAAGCGUGCUGUUGGAGUGCACGUCCAAGCAGUAAGGCUGAGUGUUAGGCAAAUCCGGCACUCAUAAGGCUGAGCUGUGAUGGGGAGAGGAAAUUGUUUCCUCGAGUCGUUGAUUUCACACUGCCGAGAAAAGCCUCUAGAUAGAUAACAGGUGCCCGUACCGCAAACCGACACAGGUAGUCAAGAUGAGAAUUCUAAGGUGAGCGAGCGAACUCUCGUUAAGGAACUCGGCAAAAUGACCCCGUAACUUCGGGAGAAGGGGUGCUCUUUAGGGUUCACGCCCAGAAGAGCCGCAGUGAAUAGGCCCAAGCGACUGUUUAUCAAAAACACAGGUCUCUGCUAAACCGUAAGGUGAUGUAUAGGGGCUGACGCCUGCCCGGUGCUGGAAGGUUAAGAGGAGUGGUUAGCUUCUGCGAAGCUACGAAUCGAAGCCCCAGUAAACGGCGGCCGUAACUAUAACGGUCCUAAGGUAGCGAAAUUCCUUGUCGGGUAAGUUCCGACCCGCACGAAAGGCGUAACGAUUUGGGCACUGUCUCAACGAGAGACUCGGUGAAAUCAUAGUACCUGUGAAGAUGCAGGUUACCCGCGACAGGACGGAAAGACCCCGUGGAGCUUUACUGUAGCCUGAUAUUGAAAUUCGGCACAGCUUGUACAGGAUAGGUAGGAGCCUUUGAAACGUGAGCGCUAGCUUACGUGGAGGCGUUGGUGGGAUACUACCCUAGCUGUGUUGGCUUUCUAACCCGCACCACUUAUCGUGGUGGGAGACAGUGUCAGGCGGGCAGUUUGACUGGGGCGGUCGCCUCCUAAAAGGUAACGGAGGCGCUCAAAGGUUCCCUCAGAAUGGUUGGAAAUCAUUCAUAGAGUGUAAAGGCAUAAGGGAGCUUGACUGCGAGACCUACAAGUCGAGCAGGGUCGAAAGACGGACUUAGUGAUCCGGUGGUUCCGCAUGGAAGGGCCAUCGCUCAACGGAUAAAAGCUACCCCGGGGAUAACAGGCUUAUCUCCCCCAAGAGUUCACAUCGACGGGGAGGUUUGGCACCUCGAUGUCGGCUCAUCGCAUCCUGGGGCUGUAGUCGGUCCCAAGGGUUGGGCUGUUCGCCCAUUAAAGCGGUACGCGAGCUGGGUUCAGAACGUCGUGAGACAGUUCGGUCCCUAUCCGUCGUGGGCGUAGGAAAUUUGAGAGGAGCUGUCCUUAGUACGAGAGGACCGGGAUGGACAUACCUCUGGUGUACCAGUUGUCGUGCCAACGGCAUAGCUGGGUAGCUAUGUAUGGACGGGAUAAGUGCUGAAAGCAUCUAAGCAUGAAGCCCCCCUCAAGAUGAGAUUUCCCAACUUCGGUUAUAAGAUCCCUCGAAGAUGACGAGGUUAAUAGGUUCGAGGUGGAAGCGUGGUGACACGUGGAGCUGACGAAUACUAAUCGAUCGAAGACUUAAUCAA